GUGUUGUAUGAAAGGAGAGAAGGUUAGCACUCCCCUUGACAAGGAUGGAAGAGGCCCUCGGGCCUGACAACACGCAUACGGUCAAAGACCCAACCUAUAAUAACAUCACCUUGGGUCAACACAUGAUUUAU
rnacentral:ncRNA from 1 species